AGUGGCGGACGGGUGAGUAACACGUAAGAAUUUGCCUUUAGGAGGGGGACAACAACUAGAAAUGGUUGCUAAUACCCCAUAUGCUUUCGAGUGAAAUGGAUUUUUCCGCCUAGAGAGAAGCUUGCGGCUGAUUAGCUUGUUGGUGAGGUAAUGGCUCACCAAGGCGACGAUCAGUAUCUGGUUUGAGAGGACGAUCAGACACACUGGAACUGAGACACGGUCCAGACUCCUACGGGAGGCAGCAGUGGGGAAUUUUCCGCAAUGGGCGAAAGCCUGACGGAGCAAUACCGCGUGAGGGAUGACGGCCUAUGGGUUGUAAACCUCUUUUUUCAGGGAGGAAUCAACGACGUGUACCUGAAGAAUAAGCAUCGGCUAACUCCGUGCCAGCAGCCGCGGUAAGACGGGGGAUGCAAGUGUUAUCCGGAAUCACUGGGCGUAAAGCGUCUGUAGGUGGUCCAAUAAGUCAACUGUUAAAUCUUGAGGCUCAACCUCAAAAUCGCAGUCGAAACUAUUAGACUAGAGUAUAGUAGGGGUAAAGGGAAUUUCCAGUGGAGCGGUGAAAUGCGUAGAGAUUGGAAAGAACACCGAUGGCGAAGGCACUUUACUGGGCUAUUACUAACACUCAGAGACGAAAGCUAGGGUAGCAAAUGGGAUUAGAUACCCCAGUAGUCCUAGCCGUAAACAAUGGAUACUAGAUGUU
rnacentral:rRNA from 1 species